UACGUAGGGUGCGAGCGUUGUCCGGAAUUAUUGGGCGUAAAGAGCGCGUAGGCGGCCAGGUAGGUCAGCUGUGAAAACUCGAGGCUCAACCUCGAGAUGUCGGCUGAAACCAUCUGGCUAGAGUCCGGAAGAGGAGAAUGGAAUUCCCGGUGUAGCGGUGAAAUGCGCAGAUAUCAGGAGGAACACCGGUGGCGAAGGCGGUUCUCUGGGCAUGUCCUGACGCUGAGGAGCGAAAGUGUGGGGAGCGAACAGG
rnacentral:rRNA from 1 species